UAGAGCAUUAUGACACAAAUACGUCGUAAGCUAAACUAUAUGCAGCCGUGAUGUGGAAGUGAGCUUUCAAGUCCAUCAUUCAACGUCAAGCCCACUUAAUACUGUUACAAACUUGAGCGAAUUUGUCUGCUUACAGACGACAUCAUUUUGGGCGGGAAAAUAAAAGGAUGCGCCAAGGAUGCACAGCGGAACCAAUGCGUGCAGGAUCUGCGCAGAGAAUGGUGCUUGUUAUGUCCUGCAAGUAAAGUCAACGUAAACGUCAGCAUUGUCAUAAUAUGGUUAACUCUUUGGAGCGUUCGAAAGUAUCUUCAUGAUCUUGCAUGAUUGGUGAGAAAGUUCUCUGUGCGUGUCAACUUUGAAAAGUUAUUUUCUAUCAAUUCACAUUAAUUAGUUGGAUUACUGUUUCGUCAUUCCGGAAAAUCAGUAGAAAAUUUGCCGCGAAACAGUUCUAAAGAGACCGUCAUCGCCUGUUUGGGAGGAAAAUAUUGCCGCCAUUUCCCGGGGAGGACUUUUAGAAGAAAGCAAAAGGAAUCGCUUGACGACAGGCUCAGGGGUAUUUGUUUUUGGAUGCUUCUUCUUCUUCAUUCUCUAGUUCACGAUAGAGUUGAAGAUCGAGUCUAAGUUUGAGGCACAUGGCUUUUGGAGAAAUGAAGUGUUGAAUUUGAUGGUAUGAAUAAACUUUAUACACACCCUUGGACAAAUUGAAGAAAAACUUGGAUUUCAUCUGAAUUUAUUAUUUUCUGGCUGAUAUCUCGCUGUAUUGCAAGAACGAUGAAGGCCGUGUAGAGAACUUGACACUGGACAGAUGACAAAUCGAACGAUACAGAGCUGCUACAUUUCUGGGCGGAAAUUAAUUCAGGUUUGUCGAUCGCCUACAUAAGCAAUCGAAGUUUAGUUUGAGUCGUGGGACUACUCUCUGGGCAAAUAUGAACAGGUUCCCCCUAAAUCAUGAUGAAGAAAAAAUAUCUCCUUUUAUUCCAACCAGGUUUAUUAAAGAAUCAUAAAGAUAUCUUGAUCAAAAUGAGGUAAAGUAGAGUUGAAAGAAAGUACUUUCAAAUACAAGGCCAUUCGAUUGUUAUCAUAAAUAAUUGUGAUAAUUAUGGACACCCAAUAAAAGGUGUUGUGCUACCCCUUUUUUACUAGUGAAGAAAUAGAUAUACUGUAUUCACUUCAUUUGUCAUUCGUAUUCAGGACUAGGUGUUUAAUGUUAUUCAUUUCAUUUAAUGAGGUAACACCAUAAUCUGAGUAUUGAAUAAAUUGUCCAGGUUUUGAAGAUACUGAUUCUCAUUAACAAACUCUAAUAUAUUUUAAUCCUAAAUAAGUAUUCUUCGGUAUUUUUUUUCAAAUCCUUGUAGGUCGUUCAGUUAGAAUAAUAGGUAAACAUUUUCGAUUAAAAAUAUUUCAUUCUGAUACCUGAAUAUCUUGUAAAAAAUGGGUUGUAGUAUAAAAAUUAUCUGAAAACUCAUAUAGUGAAAUUUCUAUGGGAAGUAUGGGAAGGGCAACAAGAGUCGAUCCUUCCAAUUGUUAUUUUAGUUUUUCUCUUUUGACGGGAAAAUAUUUACAGCAUCAAAGCUCGCAAAGUCUAUCCAGUGCAUAUUUAUUCCCCUCAUAUUCUUUGUUGUAUCUUUUGGUUAAUUUCCAUGCUUUCAUAUAUAUUUUAUCUUGACAUGGACGUAUUUAGUUUGUUUCCUUAUUUAAUCAUCAUAAAAGGUAUAUUUUAAGUAUAUUGUACUUUUUCAUCAGGUAUAUAUUAGAAGUUUACACAUGCAAAAUGACCUAAAUCCACUUUUGCUGAUUCGUCAUAAUUCAACUUUUUAAAAUUUCACCAAAAUUAUGUUUCCAUUCAAAAAUUUCUUCUACUCUGUUAAGUAGGAUUUAUUCAUGUUUAUUAUUUUCAUGGAUUUAGUCCCUUCUGCAUGGAAAGUAAUUUCAAGUUGUUGGUAAAUGUUCUUAAUAACUAAUGAAAAGAAGAGUAAGCCAUUUCAACUUCAAGACUGCAUGACAAUGUGAAGGAUAAGGGGGAGAUAAGUACUAUUAUGUUCUUGUAGGCCUUGCAUGUGCAGGGCCAUUAUACCAUUGCGACUUUUAAUGCAAAAAGGACUAAAUCCAAAGAAAUAUAUAGGAAAAAUUGAAUAAAAUAAAAGAUACCUGCAAGAAUAUUCUAAAUCUCGUUUGUGUCACAUGUUUGAUGACUCUUCAUAAGAGAACUUCCUGAAUGGAAUUUAACAUAGAGUUGGGUUUAAAAAAUCAGUGAUAAAUGAGCAAACAAGUGGAUUUAGUUCCUUUUGCAUGAAAAGUAUUUGGGAACUAGUCCUUUUUGCAUGAAAACGUAAAUUUCUUUAAACUUUUGGGAGUUGGACUAUAGUCAGUUUGAUGCACAGGUGAAUGUCUAUUUAAACAUGCAAAAAUAUGCCAAAUGAUAAAAGUGGAUUUAGUCUCAUUUUGCAUGUUAGCUCUUAUAUUCACAGUGAUGUUACAAUAUCGAACUGUUAUGAUAACACAAAAAUAUUGGACAAAUACAGUUUAGUCCUGAAUAUAUAACUGUCCUCGGGGUUUUGAAUGCAACCGUAUAUUUCUGGAAUGGCAUGUAAGCAAAUUUUACAUGUAUUAUUACAAUUAUUUCGAAGUUGUAUGUGAUUGCCCUUAGAUAAUAGAAUUUCAGACUCAAAACUCGGAUUCGAUAUGUUGAAGUUGAUUCCAGUGCUUUGAAAGAUUAUGACGUUUGAAAACUCGCGAAGAAAUUGAAAUAUGAGAAGUGAAUAGAAGCAAAUGAUUCAGGACAACAAAUAUAACUGUCGACUUGUUCGAGUCACUCACGGUCACAAGACAGAAACAUGUUAUCCAAUGUCCAACUCAUAUCAAAUUCUCUCUUUGACACUACACUACGUUAAACCCCAAACGUUAUCAUGUUUUAUCAUGAUGCUAUCAUGUACUGAUGAAACAGGGAAAAUUGUAGAAAUCAUUUAAUUCUUUUGCACUUUCCAUUCUAAAGUGUCCAGGUCCAUACCGCUUAUUCGCAAUAUUGCCUAAUCUGGAUUCGGUGAUUUCUCUUGAAAUGACUUUAGGAAGAGAGAGUUCACUAGUUCAAUCGCUCAGUAUAACGACUCCGUAAUUGAAAAUUGAUGAACGUAGGUAGGAAUCUACUGUGAUGUCAUCAUAUUUGCUCUGAUUGUGAUUUUUUCCCCCUGGACAAAGAGAGAAGGGACAACGAACAUGAUGUUAGAUGUUUUAUUCUUGUUUGACCCCUAUGACUUUUCAAAGCUUACCGUUUAUAUCAACAUUAACUUAAAACAAAUUUUGAUCGAAAACAUUUGAAAGGUUGUGCUUGAAUCACGUAGAGUCACAUUUUAUCAGAAUAUUAUGCAUUCAUCGGCUGCUCAGCCUUAUCUUAAAAUUUCAUUUGUUUCAGUUAGUUUCAAUUUAGGAAACCUCUCAGUUUAUUGAAGUCCGUUGUUUCAAAAGGUCAGGGCACCGUUAAAACGUUCCGUUCUGGGUUGAACCUUUUAAAAAACCCUUUCACGAGGAAUAGGAUACCGAUGUAUUAUUACGUCACAGAUGGACGGAUAGUGAAAGGUUUGACUUUUAUCGCUUUGUUUGGCUUAUUUUGGAAGGGAUAGAAGUCGCCAGGCAGGUAGUCCACAACACAAGAAAUGGACACUAGGUUUUCUUUUUAGCUUUCUUUUUUUUAGAGGAAGAUGAGCCAAGAUUCAGUCCUUCAGUAACACUCGUUAUAAAUUUAGGAAGAAUGUUGUACAUUUUUGAAUAUGUUAUGUAUUUCUUAAAACAAGAAGGAUUUCAUUCCACUAUCAAUUUGAGCUUGUUUGAGAGUGGUAGAAGCUGGAAGUACCCCGCCAAAAGAUACUGCAUAAGAAUGUAUUUUAUUGUGAAAUAUUAACUACCAACUACCACAAAAUCAGUGAAAGAACGAAUUUCGAAAUAAAAAAAAUCCAGUAUUAAAGCAGACAUCUAGGGUCUCAAAUUAUUGUGUCACACUCAGUUCAUAUCUACCAUUGAUAGUCGAAGUGUAAAGUUUACACCCUGUAUGAAACACUUCCUAUAUACAUUUGGGCUAUAAAUUUAUCCCAAGUGGAUAAAUGUUCACAAUUAAGUAACAGAAUUAUUUCCACCAGAGAAUGUUCGUUUGUACUCUAAAAGUUGAGAAACUCUGCACCUCUUUAUAAU